UACGUAGGCAGCGAGCGUUGUUCGGAGUUACUGGGCGUAAAGGGUGCGUAGGCGGCUCCUUAAGUUUGGUGUGAAAUCUCCCGGCUCAACUGGGAGGGUGCGCCGGAUACUGAGGAGCUAGAGUGCGGGAGGGGAAAGUGGAAUUCCUGGUGUAGCGGUGAAAUGCGUAGAUAUCGUAAGGAAGACCAGUGGCGAAGGCGGGUCUCUGGACAGUUCCUGACGCUGAGGCACGAAGGCCAGGGGAGCGAACAGG
rnacentral:rRNA from 1 species